GUGGAAGUUCUUAGAAGCAGAAGAGCCUAUUGUUAUGACCUUGGAAUAAGAAGAGAUUUCUUAAAUGCACAUGAACUUUAUUUGUUGUCUUAAAAGGACACUAAUAUAAGAAGAAAAUUAUUCAGGGUCAUACUAAAAUUAAGAACUUCCAUUUACCACCAAGAGACACCUGUAUGAGAUUAAAAAUACAACCCACAGAAUGAAAGGAAACUGGCAAUGCAUGUGUCUGACUAAUGCCUUAUAUUGCAAAUGUAUAAAGAACUGUAAAUCAGUGAGAAAAAGACUGAUAUCUGGUAGAAAAAUGGGCUAUAGAAAUGAAUAAGUGCUUUGCGGAAAUCGAUAUCCAAGUGUCCAGGAAACAUGCAGGUGGGUGCUGAGCUCCAUCUCUCAGCAGGAAGAUCAAACAUAGUGCCCAUGGGAAGAGCCUCACUAGCUGGCUACCAGGACGACAGAACCCAAAGCACAACCAGAGCGAGUGUGGGUGAGACUGCGUGACACGGGGCGGCCUCGUGCGGGGAUGGCGUGUACACUGGUAUAUCCACUUUGGAAAACUGUCUAGUGCUUCCUCGAUAUACAUCCAUCCAACAGUUCUACCUUCAGCCAAUGGCAAUACUUGUGUGCAGGAAUGGUCAUGACAUAUUAUUCACAUAGCUCCAAAUCGGAAGCUGUAGUCUUGCCCACCGAAAGUUGAAUGACUAUAUAAAUUGUGGAAUUCUCACACAGCAUGGCAACAUUGGGCAGUGAGAGUGAAUGAGUUACGUGUUCUCACAGAAAUAUGGAUAAAUCUGACAAAUAUAAGGCUGAGCAAAGGAAGGUAGACACCAAAGAGCAUGCCGCAUUAUUCAUUGCUACAUAUCCCUGUGCAAGGAAAGCUAACUCAUGCUUUCAGAGGUCAGGGUAUUGGUUACCUUUGAUACCUGGACGGUAGGGGCGGUGGAUGUGGCACAAAGUAGGGGGAGACAUUGAGGUUACUGGACUGUUCCACUCCAUAUCUCGAUCUGAGUUCUGGUUUAGGUGGGUGUAAAAUUUAGUGAGAUGUACGCAUAUGGUAUGUGUACAUUUAUUUCUGUGUUUGUAUUAAAGUUAACAUGUUUAGGAAGAAAAGGAAUGAGGCAGUUUUGUAUAAUACAUUGUUACUGGUAUCUUUCCAGGAUAUAUUUGAGUAAAAGAACCAGAUGCAGAAAGUGUACAUGGUAUGAAUUUUCAUUCAUUACACAAUACUUUUUGGCAAUAACCACUGAGUGUCAGGCAGUUUUUAGGCACUGAAUAUAACAGACAAAAGUGUAGAUCUGUUUGUGUGCUUGUAAAUGCUGGGCUGUUGAUAAAAGCACACAAAAUGAAUUGUUCACCGCUUGUUUCUUCAGAGGGACUGGAGUGAUUGGGAGUCAGAAGUAGGAAGGAGAGGUGGGCAUGCAGCGCAGUAGCUGAGCUUUUCUCUAGCAUUUACAAGGACAGGGUUUGCUUUCCCAAUCCCUAAAAACUUAAAAAUAAAAAAGAAGCAGAAAGGAGGGUUCUUAUGGAAUCUUUUUGUGCCUCUUCAAGUCCAUACAAUGGAUCACCAAUUUUUUAAAAAUGAAUUUAACAAUCCUGGUAACUGGGUUAUUAAUGUUGGAAGCCUCUGUGUGUUCUUUGCUUUAGAGAUCAACUGAAACACACCGUCUUGGUGGUUUGCCCCAGGAUGCCUCUGCUGCUGGUGGCCAGGAUUUUUGAAGUCCAAGUCUACCAGCUUUGUUACUCUUUGGCUUUGUGAGAUCAUACAAGGCUCUCGGCCAAGUGAGAAGGUAGGACUAAGACUAGCACACUUCCUGGUACAGUGGGCAGUGCUCGAUCAUUAUCUGACGUUGGCCAGGUGGCAGCUGCCUGACGGUACACUGGCCUGACAGACAUCUGGAUCUGGUGACUGUAAUACACACACACACACACACACACACACCAGAUACCAUGUGUUUUGCAGCUUGGAAUCCUGUUGUUGCUGAUACAAGGCUUACAUCAGUUGGGGAACUCACGAGUUAGCAGGUCUGGAAUUGCAGGUGCAGAAGGGGACGAAGGAUGUGUUACUGGGCACUUGUAGACAAAAAAUUGCUGUGUUCAUUCAUCAUGUAUCUGACGGAAAACCAGAUAACCACUCAGCAUUUGGAAGAUUCAGAGAAAGAGAUAUGGAUCCUCUUCCCAUGAACACUUCUUAUAGUGAAUUAAACACCCCAGCGUCUGAAACCACCGCUAAUGAGGGAAGGAAGGCUGAGGAGGAAAAGGGCAGCCGAGAAGCACAGCUGCAGCCACCAGGGUUUAGGGCAGCAGAGUUUACUCGAACUGAAGGAACUGAGGAGGCUUCAGGGAAGAGCUGGAACUUGGCAGAGAUGAGCAUUUGAGUUUGGGAAGGCCAAGGGUACAAGCCAGCAUGAAGAGCACUGGCCCCAUCACAGCUGUGUGUGCCAGGCGUACAGCAAGACAUUUGUGCAUUUUGGCUGCAACAGAGUGGGCGAAGGGGGAGAGAAGGAAAUGGUAUAGAUUGUGUCAGAUUGUGGGGUGACUUGUUGACCUUGUUUUUUUUUCCCGUUUCUUCCUCUGUAACCAUCAGAGCUGUAGUGAUGUGAUAGUGAUCUUGCCUUCCAUGGUGGUAAGAAAUUUUUUUUUUGCCAAAUUUGUAGCAUUUGCCAACAUCUGUGGUGCAAAUAUUCCCAUUGUGGUCAGUUUCAUACUAGCAGCGGAUUAACAAAUAGCUCACAGAAUUCCAGAGCAUUUAACAGUUGGCUCUUUUUUUUGGAUACCGGGGAUUGAACUCGGGACCUUGCUCUUGCGAGACAGGCGGCAGCACCCCUGAGCGGUUGGCUCUUAGGGAGCAGUAGAAGCCUUCUCCAGUGCAGGAUUGAAAAGCCUGGCUUCGUUCCUGGGACAGCUACCAUACCUAUCUGUCCAUGGCCUCUGUAGAGGGCCAGGGGGCCUUGUCUUACACCCUAAGAGAUGCCCGUGACCAUUGCUGGCUGUCCCACAGGGGCACUCCAUUCCAGGGAGGCUGCUCUGAAGUCUGGACAAGGAGGGCUAGUUUGGCACAAAGAAAUGAGCAAUCGAUCAGAUUCUUUCACCUGGGAGAGGAAUGGAGGCAUAGCCAGGGAGCUUUCACUGCAGAGGCAGAGGGGAAAAGGAUGCCCCGUGAGAGCGUGGAGUCUGGAGCACACGAAAGUGAUGUGGAAACCAGCGUUAUGAAAGAACAACUAACUGUAAGGAGACUUAGGAUGCUGACAGAUAGGUGGGAGCAGAUGUGAACAGAACCCACAGCCUGAAAGGAGGGCUCCAUCCCGACAGCUGCCCCUGUUCUUUGCAGCUUUGCAGUUCUAAGACUGAAAAUCCCUCUCCUUCCUCAGAUGAUUCCAGUGGCUGGCUGUUCCCUGCCGCCUAAAGACACAGGUUUCUGGGACUCCCCUGACUACCUUGCUCAGCUUUGCACGGUUUCAAUGCUCCCCACCCUGACGUAGCCUGGGGGUUGUGUUCCAAGACCCCCCGGGGGCCUGACCCCUCAGAGUAAAGGCCUAUCCAUGUGCUGUGUUCUGUCCCGCACAAACACACCAAUGAUACCGUUUCAUUUCUAAGUCAGGCGCAGUAAGAAAUUAACUAGCAACUCAUCCUAAAAUAGAACAAUGGUAACAAUAGGCUGUAAUAAAGAUCAUUGAAAACUUAA